rnacentral:rRNA from 1 species
AGUGAACGCUGGCGGUAGGCCUAACACAUGCAAGUCGAACGGCAGCACAGUUAGAGCUUGCUCUUACGGGUGGCGAGUGGCGGACGGGUGAGGAAUACAUCGGAAUCUACUUUUUCGUGGGGGAUAACGUAGGGAAACUUACGCUAAUACCGCAUACGACCUACGGGUGAAAGCAGGGGAUCUUCGGACCUUGCGCGAUUGAAUGAGCCGAUGUCGGAUUAGCUAGUUGGCGGGGUAAAGGCCCACCAAGGCGACGAUCCGUAGCUGGUCUGAGAGGAUGAUCAGCCACACUGGAACUGAGACACGGUCCAGCCUCCUACGGGAGGCAGCAGUGGGGAAUAUUGGACAAUGGGCGCAAGCCUGAUCCAGCCAUACCGCGUGGGUGAAGAAGGCCUUCGGGUUGUAAAGCCCUUUUGUUGGGAAAGAAAAGCAGCAGGUUAAUACCCCGCUGUUCUGACGGUACCCAAAGAAUAAGCACCGGCUAACUUCGUG